AGAAUCAACGCUGGCGGCGUGCCUAACACAUGCAAGUCGCACGAGAAAGGGGAGCAAUCCCUGAGUAAAGUGGCGCACGGGUGAGUAACACGUGAAUCAUCUACCUCCGAGUGGGGAAUAACCUAGAGAAAUCUGGGCUAAUACCGCAUAACACUUACGAGUCAAAGCAGCAAUGCGCUUGGAGAGGAGUUCGCGGCCGAUUAGUUAGUUGGCGGGGUAAUGGCCCACCAAGACGAUGAUCGGUAUCCGGCCUGAGAGGGCGCACGGACACACUGGAACUGAAACACGGUCCAGACUCCUACGGGAGGCAGCAGUGGGGAAUUUUGCGCAAUGGGGGAAACCCUGACGCAGCAACGCCGCGUGGAGGAUGAAAUAUCUUGGUAUGUAAACUCCUUUCGAUGGGGAAGAUUAUGACGGUACCCAUAGAAGAAGCCCGGCUAACUUCGCGCCAGCAGCCGC
rnacentral:rRNA from 1 species